rnacentral:rRNA from 1 species
UUUUAAAUUGAGAGUUUGAUCCUGGCUCAGGACGAACGCUGGCGGCGUGCCUAACACAUGCAAGUCGA